GCAGACUCACUCUGGGUCAGACCUUUUCCCUGGCCUGGCACCUUUUUAAGUCUGCGACAGGAAAUCCCCAGAGUACUGUAUGUAUUUGCUGUGUCCCGUAGAGGUCACAACAGCCACAACUUCUCUGGAACAGUUAU